UAUGCCUUUUAACGAGAGGAUAUCUCCAAUGGCUUCAAACAACAAAUCAAUGCUUUGGAAGGUUUUAUUUGCUAUCAUGCUCAUUCUUUGUUCUUCCCACAUGGCGUUUGGGAGACAUAUUGCUGAUGCUACCCCUCGUAGAUCUUAUAAUGAAAACAAUAAGGAGAGUAUAUCAAGAGCUCUACUUGGUUCACAAACUGACGUCCCAAGAAGGGGUAACUAUGGAGGAGGGGAGCCCUCAAGUUGAUUCAAACACCUACUUGUUCAAGCUUUCUUUUGGAGAAAAAUAUGUUGUCCUUUUGAAUUUAUACAACUAUUUAUUUCUUGUAGGCUUAAAAUUUCUCACUUGUGGAUGGAAAACUAUAUAGAAUGAGACACAACGAGUGAUUAAUAUUAUUAUACGAGUUUGACCAUGUAUUUCAAUCAAUAUUAACUCGGAAGUUGAGGGAUUCGUAUUAUAGGACCCCUGUUCUAAUACCA